rfam:Desulfobulbus sp. Tol-SR contig_19, whole genome shotgun sequence.
UGGAGCGGGUGCAUGGUCGCUCCGGCCUCGUGCCGGAGAGGAAAGUCCGAACUCCGCAGGGCAGGAUGGUUCGUAACACGAACGCCGGGCGACCGGGGGAAAGUGCCACAGAAAACAAACCGCCCGGUCGGAUGACCGGGUAAGGGUGAAAUGGCGAGGUAAGAGCUCACCGCCUCGAUGGCGACACCGAGGGCAGGGCAAACCCCAUCCGGAGCAAGACCAAAUAGGGGGAUGUUUGAGGGCGGCCCGUCCGAUAUCUCCGGGUAGGUUGCAAGAGAUGCCGAGCGAUCGGCAUCCCAGUGAAAUGAUCAUGGCCCUUCACCGGGUACAGAAUUCGGCUUACAGCCCGCUCCGUUUU